CUUGUGUCGGGAAGGUGUAUGUUGUUUUUGUCGAGUUGUUCUCGGUUAAGCUUUGGGCCGUGCUGAUGUGGGGUCGUAGCGGCUUGGAGUUGUUCUGUAUGUUCCUCCCCUUUCCAUGCUGUCAUUGCAUCGUCCACGUGCCUGGUGUGGCUGCUGGGCUGCGGUGCGAGCUUGGGUGUGGCCCUGCCUUCCACGUCUCUUGGGGCGAUCUCGGCUGGCGGUGCCGCCGGGGGGCUUCCUAUGGGUGCACCCGUCUGUUGUUUGUAAUACCUCCCUUUGGGGGUGUAAUAGGAUUGGUGGCGGGGUAAGUGC
rnacentral:lncRNA from 1 species